rnacentral:rRNA from 1 species
CCUACGGGUGGCAGCAGUGAGGAAUAUUGGUCAAUGGACGAGAGUCUGAACCAGCCAAGUAGCGUGAAGGAUGACUGCCCUAUGGGUUGUAAACUUCUUUUAUAUGGGAAUAAAAUGUUCCACGUGUGGGAUUUUGUAUGUACCAUAUGAAUAAGGAUCGGCUAACUCCGUGCCAGCAGCCGCGGUAAUACGGAGGAUCCGAGCGUUCUCCGGAUUUAUUGGGUUUAAAGGGAGAGUAGGUGGAUUGUUAAGUCAGUUGUGAAAGUUUGCGGCUCAACCGUAAAAUUGCAGUUGAAACUGGCAGUCUUGAGUACAGUAGAGGUGGGCGGAAUUCGUGGUGUAGCGGUGAAAUGCUUAGAUAUCACGAAGAACUCCGAUUGCGAAGGCAGUUCACUGGACUGCAACUGACACUGAGGCUCGAAAGUGUGGGUAUCAAACAGGAUUAGAUACCCUUGUAGUC